UUGGAUAGCAAUUUGAGGGAAUGUAAUAGUAAUCGCGCACAUGUUUUAGUAGAUCGAAGGAACAAAUUAGUUCUGUAAAUCAUGUACAGUUAGUUUUUUAUGUCAUGUGUCGUGCUCCAUAUUAAUUCAUAUGUACACCAUUUUAAAAAUACUCAAAUGAGACUGCUGGAACAUAAAUAACAUAACAUAAUGUAACAUAAAUAUAAAAUAAAUAAAGAAAAAAAAUGUUUUUGAGUGUACAUAGCCUUUCUCCCAUAUUACACUGGUCUCUUUAUUUUUACAUAAUAAAAUAAUUUCAACUGCAAUAAUAUGUAUUUUAGUAUUUAUUUAUAAUAAUAAUUUUGUAACUAGCCCCAUAAUGAGACAAAUAAUUCACAAUCAAUCAGUUAUCACAAAAUAACCCACUCCGCUUCAUGUUUGGGUCCUGAUCACUGUCAGUAUUUUAUUUUUUAAUUUAAUGACCAGUUGACUAAACAUUAUAAUCACUUAAACACUUUCAGAAACCCAUCGGAUUAAAAAUCAAGAAUGUAUAAAAUGAGAUACACAAGUAUCAAACUUGUAUAGAAGCAGUGUGCUAGAAUAAUCACAUGCAGUCUGAUUCAGAAAUGUGGGUGGAAGACAGAAGCACAGCCUCUCUCUCCUCUCUUGUGAUUAACUGUGUGUGUACCGUUCACAGGUACGAGCCUUUACAAGACUUCCUGUCACUCGCUGCGGUCAUCUGAAAGAGAGGGGGUGUCCCCGGUGAGGGUGAUGCCAUCGCAAUGACGCAACACACAUCAAGGGGACAGCUUGCAGAGUGAACACAAAAAACUGGGACAUUACUGCAGGCUACGCCUCAUACAACACCCUCGCAGCCUGCCACAUUCCCGCUGGCCCUCUAAUGAACGGAAACCCAGGGCGGAUCUGUCACCAGAACACUGUCCUGUGCAGCCUGGAAAUGGUGGAGCCAAGCAGCCUACACACAGUCUGUCACACAGGGGAGGAGAGCAGAAGAAAUCUAAACAUAUGCAGCUGUGAUGUUGAGAAUGUAGUUCGGCUGGACCCACAGAAUGAAAGCCUGAUGUCUUUUAUGCAAAAGUCAAUAUCUGUUUGUUGGCUCAGACAACCCUUCAAGAGGGGAAAAGAGAAAGAGAGAUCAGUAAAGUCUUUUGUGAAUGACAGAUACAUUUAAAUGGUACUUUGAGUUGAUUAUUACAAUUUCAAAUAGACCUUUUCUAUUUGAAUACAUGCAAAUAUGUAAUAUAUUCCUGUGAAUUUUCAUCUUUAUUAUUCCAGUCUUUACUGUCCUGCAGAAAUCAUUCUAAUAUGUUGAUCUGGAGCUCAAAAAUGUGAAAUAGAAAGACUAUAAAUAUUAUGCAUCUUUACUGUCACUUUUUAUUAUUUUGGU